GUGAAGGACUGGGGGGAACUCAUGCAGCCCCACCCCGUGCUGGAGAACUGUAGAUAGUUCCUGGUUCCUGGGAGAGGAAGAGUUAUUUGCUUCCAUGAUGUAAUCACUUCUAUGUGGCAAAAUAUUCAGGGAAUCCCUGUCCACCCUUGGUGUGUUGAGAGGUCCUGGUUUCUGCUGUUUUCCAAGCUGGCACAUGAAGUGGCUGAGAGUAACUUCAGUUCCUUUGAGUAUUUAAAGUGGAUCCAGAUGUAGAACUCCCAGCUAAUUUUCCAGUGCCUGUCUGCCUGUGUGCCACCAUGUUCCCCAUCAAAACGCAAUAGGCUAAGCUUCUGCAACCGUAAG